GUAAGGAAUAGAGGGAUCUAAAUACAAAAUAGGUACACUGUAGAUGUCACCCAUAUCGAUAUAUCUUGAUCAUGCAGCUGCACAUAUUUUGUGCAGACCAACUUAUGCCACAUUAACCAGGAACAAUAUGGCUCAAAUUAAUAGACAUCAAAACCCCAUCAUUGGAAGCAACAGUACUAUACCCGAGGCCUUGAACCUCAUCCUCGGAAAAUAAAAAAUGAAGCCCACCCCACAAC